rnacentral:tRNA from 1 species
ACGCUCGUAACUCAGUGGGAAAGAGUAUUAUUUUCCGAAAGUAAUAGUCACAGGUUCGAAUCCUGUCGAGCGUA